rnacentral:misc_RNA from 1 species
AAGUCGUAACAAGGUUUCCGUAGGUGAACCUGCGGAAGGAUCAUUAUCGAGUUAGGGUCUUCCAGGCCCGACCUCCAACCCUUUGUCUAUUAUACCACUUGUUGCUUCGGCGAGCCUGUUUCUUGAAAUAUAGAGACUGCUGGGGGCUUCUGUCCCUAGUUCGUGCUCGUCGAUAGCCAUCAUUAAACUCAUGUUUAACCGUGUCGUCUAAGUAAAACACUUAAUUUAAUUAAAA